rnacentral:lncRNA from 1 species
UUUUUUUUUUUUUUUUUUUUUUUUUAAGUUGUGUUCAUGGUACUGUGUUUUAAAAGACCACUCUUAGCCUUUAGAAACACAUACUGAUAUUUACAGAUGAAAUGAUAUGAUCUCUGAGAUAGGCUUCAAAAUAUGUGGUAGGGAUGGGCCAAGCCAAAUUUGCCGUGGGUCUGGGAGUGUUGUAGGAAAGUAAUAUGCCAGAAAAUUCUAACCUGUGGAUAAUGAUGAUAGAGGUGGUGGGGGGAUGUGUGUGUGUCAGGGGGGUGGGUCAGAGUUAUUGCAGGGCAGCUCUGAGGGUCUCAAAUAGAACUGUCCACCUAUGACUAGGCAGGGUAGAAUUUUGAGAUAUUAACCAUACUCCAACCCCAAUUUGUGAAGCCAGACAAUUUGCCUGUAUUGCAUAGGGGAAGAAAGGGUGCGACAGAAUUCAGAGAAUAGAAAGAUUAAAGUUUUGACCUUUUGUUUAAUAAAUUUUUCAUAGAGAUAGGGUUUCCUUGUGCUGCCAGGGUGGUCUUGAACUCCUAGACUCAAGUGAUCCUCCCACCUCAGCCUCCCAAAGUGCUGGGAUUACAGGCAUGAGUCAGCAUGCCUGGGCAGUUUUGCAUUUUGAAUUUUAAAAGCUACUGUCCAGGCAUAAGAAAAAGACUUAAUUAGUGAGAGUCAUUUUUCCUUCCCUCCUGUUCCCCCAAAAUGAUAGAUAGUUAGCUUUAGUUAAGCAUUUAUGAUGGGCCAGGCAGUAUUCUAAGCAUUCUACAAAUAUUGUCUUUUUAAAUCCUCUAAGAAGCCUGUGAGAUAAUCAGUUCUACAAAUGGAGAAAUUGAGGCACAAACUGGUUAAGUAACUUGCCCAGAGUCCCAUAACUCACCUGACCCCAGAGCCUGGGUGCUUAGCUAAUCCCUGGAUAGAUGAGGGAAGACCAGCUUAUCAUGGGAGCUGUUGGCUGAGAUGGUGGAUCAGGGAGUCUAGGUGGAAAGGACCCGGGGAGUACCAGUGUGGAAGGGAGAGCAUGAACCGGGUAUGGAAGCCUAAAGGAACCGCCCUCGCCUCCCGUGCCUUGGUGCUCCCGAGGGCCUCCAGAACUUGAACUCAACCUAAGGGAGACUCAGGGAAAUUCUUAAAUGACAGUGAUUUUGUUUCUCCCACCUCCAAGAUCAGGAACCUGAUAAAGAAAUUCACGUUAGUUGUCAAAAAAAUGGAGAAAUAUUCACUCAUGGUUGAGUUUGCAGCCUGUGAUUCUACAUGCAUAACAGUGUGAUAUGGUUUCUGCUGUUGUGAUAAGGCAUUCUAAAGGAAUCAGGGUUCUGGUUAGAAUAUUAGGUUUUCAAGUCAAAGUAACUUGGGUUUGAACCCUAACUCUGUCAGUUAGUUGCUAUGUGGCCCUGGUGAGAGCCUUAAUUUCUUGUCAGCAAAUAGGGAUGAGAGUACUAACUGUGCCCACCAAACAGGGUGGUGUAAGCAUAAGAUGAAUGCCCAGCUCAGUGCCUGGCACAGGGCAUCUCCUCAGUACAUUGUAACCUGUGUGUCUCAAUUCAUUGGUGGUAUAAACAAGAACUGGUUUCAUUGUUUCCAACCAUUGCUCCCAUCCCAGCUUCUGUAACAUUUUCCAUGGCCUAACAUCCUUAGUAGUAAUUCAGCUGGAUUCUGUAAUACCAGUUCCUUUACUAAAACUAUCACUUUAGUUUUUUAAGGCUCUGUCCUGGUCAUUUUAAAACUUCAGUCUAUAUUGCUGAUAGGGGGGUGUAGUUAAAAACAACAACAACAACAACAACAACAACAAAACCAUGAAAGAAAGAAAGAGAGAAAAGAGAAGAGAGAGAGAGAGAGAAAAGAGAAGUCUAUAUUGCUGACAUGGCGGUGUAGUUAAAAAAAAAAAAACCAUGAAAGAAGGAAAGAGAGAG